UACGAAGGGGGCUAGCGUUGCUCGGAAUUACUGGGCGUAAAGGGCGCGUAGGCGGAUAUUUAAGUCGGGGGUGAAAGCCCAGGGCUCAACCCUGGAAUUGCCUUCGAUACUGGGUAUCUCGAGUAUGGAAGAGGUGAGUGGAAUUCCGAGUGUAGAGGUGAAAUUCGUAGAUAUUCGGAGGAACACCAGUGGCGAAGGCGGCGACCUGGACAGAUAUUGACGCUGAGGUGCGAAAGCGUGGGGAGCAAACAGG
rnacentral:rRNA from 1 species